UGUAAGCGCAGCGAUGCGUUGAGCUAACCGGUACUAAUGAACCGUGAGGCUUAACCUUACAACGCCGAAGC
rnacentral:rRNA from 2 species